GCGCGCCCGCCGCCCCCGCCCGUCCAUCAGCACGUGCCGUGGGCGGGAGGGCUGGCGGGGCUCCCCGGGAAGAAAAAGUUGGCCGGGAGGAACCAGCCGGGCCUGCUUUUCCUCCCCGGUAGCCCCUCCGCGGGCGGGAGCGCGGGCCGCAGCCUGGGCCAGCUUGUCACUGGGCGCCCGGGCCCUGGCGUUGUCCUGCCCCGCCGCCCAGCAGCGCUUUCCCCGUGAAGAAGCUCCGCUAGGAAAGGGCAGGAAGGUGUGAGGGAAAAAAGUGGCCAAGCCGGUGUCAUGGAGGCCCUGCUGGCCUUGAAGAGGGUCGAGAAGCGAGAAAAGCACAGCUGCGGCUGGAUUUGGCUGCAGGGCCGGGAGGCCCCAUCCAGAUGCCGGUGGGGUUGGUGCCAUGGAAAGCGGACAAGCUGCCAGGAUUCACGGAGGAGAUAACUUCUAAACAGAGAGCAGCUUCUGUGACUGCUUAGGAAAUCAACAAAGUCUCCAACAACCAUCAACCAUCUUACAGGCUUGUGUAAGGAACAGGAACUCUGCUCAGGCUUCUCCAUAUGCAUUAAUCACAGGGAAAUUUACAGUAUCUUUGGAAUCAGUACACGGAAAAAAUCUGCAGGAAGAAAAUCUGUCAAGGAAUGUGCAGGGGACAGCAGAAGAAUAUUUUGUUGUGAAAGAAUAAUACCUGGUCUUUGUUUAUAAUGUACAAAUAAAAAUUUUAUUCCUGAAAUCCUAUUUUUUAUGUGAAGCCAGAUUUUUGGAAAGUGUGCCCUUUUUUUCUGCUUCCACAUCUCCUGUGUUAUCAGAAUUGUGGAGCUGUUACUUCGUAAAGCACAAACACCUAACAGAUAACAAAACCCAGGUCUUGAGGUGCACUCAGAUUUGUGCAUUAUUCUUAAGCUAUAUUCAGUAAAUGGACUAUAUGAUAACAAUUUAGGCUCACAUAAAGCAGGUAUGAAACACAUCCAUUUGAAGGAUAUCAGAAUCUCAGUUCUGAGUGUUUUAAUCCACAUAUAUGUCCACACAUGCAUACAGGAGUGCUUGCAUUAGUCAACAUGAAGAUUUCUUUAAAUGAAACUAAACCUCGAUCCCAGCAUUAUUUUCCUGUCUACAUAUGAUUAGAUCUUAAAAUAAUUUAAACAAUGUAAAUCAUUCUUUUGUUUUGAAACGAGAUCUUUAAUUAAGGCUAUAGGUUUUUAUUAAACCUCCUAAAAAUCCAAAACAUCCUCUUUAAUGUACCAUGAGAAUAAAACAAUCUAGAACACCGAGUUUUCUGGCUUCAGUGUAGCAAGCAGCAUUCAUUCCACAAGCACUGGAAGAAUCAUCACCUUCAUUCAGUUCAAGGCUAUAUUUUUAUCUAUAUCUUCUAAUUAAAAGAAAAUUAAAUCUCAACUCUUUUUCAGUAACAGUAUGCACAGUAAAACUGAAGUCGAAGCAGUAGAAUUUCUGUAACAUUUUUGUCAUUAAUGAAAAUAAUCUGAUUUCUAAAGUAGUAAGAUUAGAAAAUACUUUUGUAGUAGAGGCAGAUUUAUUAAUGAUACUUUAUGCAUACUAAUUUAUUAUUCCUGAACAGUUAUAAUCUGGAAACUUUUAAAGGAAAAAUGUUUCGUUCAAAAGUUUAGCUUUGUUAAAAAAAAAUCCCUUCUUGUCUUUAUUACAGAGAAGAUUCUUGUGACUCAGCCUGACAGUCCUUAUUAGUACAACACACAUUUGUUAGUGUUUUCCUUUGAUGUAAUCUUCCUAAGAGGAGGAGGAACUGUGUUUUAACAGCUAUUCAAGGGUACAUUUCAUAGGAACACAAGACAGAAUUUAUGGCUGAAUAUAGUCUGAAUCUCAUCCACAACUCUGAUUUGUCUGGGAGAACAAAGCAUUUCAUUGUGUAUUCAAUAAUGAUUUCAGCAAUCUUAUUCACACAUUCCUUCCUUUCUUAAUCAACAGAAACGGGCUGAAUUCAAGAUGCAUUAUUGGGGUAGGAGGGGGAUACAAUUCCAAAGCCUAUACUUUUGAAAUCACCAUUUUCUUCAGAGCAAUAAUCUCUCUUUAAGAAUCUCUGUUAAGAAUCCCUUAAUGCAACACUUGUCAAGCCUUUUGCACCAUGUCCUUUCCUAAUGAACUUUGCUCUAUUCACUUUUUCCACCCUGUCAGCUGGCAUGGUGCUCUGCUUAUGCCUCUAUUGCUUCCAGUUCCAACAACUGAACUCUCCAGGGAUCACAGUGCACAGUUUAGGGAGCACUGUCUUGUGCAAAGGUUAAAGGUCAGAACAGACAAUCUGAAAAACAGCAAUUUUAUCUGACAAAAUAUUGUGUACACUCUGGGCAUUCUUUUCAAUUGCAUUUCCUUAUGCACACUGUAAACAGAAAUCAGGGCUGGAAAAUAAAAUCAAAAGUGCACAAAGUUGUGAUUCCUGAUGCUGUGCUUGGUAAUGGCAUCUAAAUCCAAGUCUGUCCAUUUAUCAUCUAACUUCUUAAUUAUGUUUAGUAUACUUAGUUGUAUCUCUAAAAUGCCUGCAUUUCUGAGGGGUGUGCAACAGGAAUGCACAAAAUGGCUGUUUUUGUAAAAGACACUGUUGUAUGAUGUCAUCCUUUCAUUUGUAUAUAUUUCUUGGCACUAGAGCUCAAUGAGGGUGUUUAAAACAUUUUGUAUAUUUUAAAUAAUUUUUGCUAAGAAAUGGAAGAACACCUACCUGAACUUAUAUAGUCAAACUUUGUUUGCAGAUGUGUCAAUGUAACUGAAGACAGAACUUAACCCACUCCUUACAAAGUUACUAUAAACAGUAUUUGUUGACACAAUAAGGUCUGGGACUAUACAGGUCUUGCUAAGUUACAACAUGUACUGUUAGCAGACUGCAUCUUUUAAGCAUACUAAUAUUUGUUUAAAGCAGCAUUAUUUGGUCAAUAAAAUAUUCAAGACUGAUAUACAAUAAAGUUGAAACCAAUGCUUUUAAUUUUUAUUUUCAGGUCUGAAGUAGAGAGUACAAGCUUGUGUAUGCUUUCUUACUGAUAUUACAUGGCUAAAAGCUGUCAGCUGUUCACAUGGCAUAUUAAUAAAUAUACCCAAAUCAUAAAGUUUAAA